rnacentral:rRNA from 1 species
GACGAACGCUGGCGGCGUGCUUAACACAUGCAAGUCGAACGGAAAGGCCCAGCUUGCUGGGUGCUCGAGUGGCGAACGGGUGAGUAACACGUGGGUGAUCUGCCCCUAACUUCGGGAUAAGCUUGGGAAACUGGGUCUAAUACCGGAUAGGACAAUCGUUUAGUGUCGGUUGUGGAAAGUUUUUUCGGUUAGGGAUGAGCCCGCGGCCUAUCAGCUUGUUGGUGGGGUAAUGGCCUACCAAGGCGUCGACGGGUAGCCGGCCUGAGAGGGUGGACGGCCACAUUGGGGCUGAGAUACGGCCCAGACUCCUACGGGAGGCAGCAGUGGGGAAUAUUGCACAAUGGGCGCAAGCCUGAUGCAGCGACGCCGCGUGGGGGAUGACGGCCUUCGGGUUGUAAACCUCUUUCGACAGGGACGAAGCUUUGGUGACGGUACCUGUAGAAGAAGCACCGGCUAACUACGUG